rnacentral:rRNA from 1 species
UACGGAGGAUGCGAGCGUUAUCCGGAUUUAUUGGGCGUAAAGCGAGUGCAGGCGGUUCAAUAAGUCUGAUGUGAAAGCCUUCGGCUCAACCGGAGAAUUGCAUCAGAAACUGUUGAACUUGAGUGCAGAAGAGGAGAGUGGAACUCCAUGUGUAGCGGUGGAAUGCGUAGAUAUAUGGAAGAACACCAGUGGCGAAGGCAGCAUACCGGUGCACAACUGACGCUCAGGCACGAAAGCGUGGGUAUCGAACAGG